UACGUAGGCAGCAAGCGUUGUUCGGAGUUACUGGGCGCUAAAGGGUGCGUAGGCGGCCCUGUAAGUAUGGUGUGAAAUCUCCCGGCUUAACUGGGAGGGUGCGCUAUAGACUGCGGGGCUCGAGUGUGGGAGAGGAAAGUGGAAUUCCUGGUGUAGCGGUGAAAUGCGUAGAUAUCAGGAGGAACACCGGUGGUGUAAACGGCUUUCUGGACCAUAACUGACGCUGAGGCACGAAAGCGUGGGUAGCAAACAGG
rnacentral:rRNA from 1 species